rnacentral:lncRNA from 12 species
UCAGGCUGGGGAAUUUGCAUAGACACUUAGUCAUAACCAUCCCCUUAAACAAUGAUGCCCCGGAUGUGACCUGAUUACCUGCUGCAGGUGACCUUUUUGAGCCCUCUCACUCAGAGGUCUAUGAUUAUUCAGCAGGAAGCAAAUUUCCAAACCGUGUUUCCUAGGAUUCUUUUGAUGAUAAGAGGCAGAAACUCAAUUUUAAAGAGAGAGGCACAAAGGAAAAUGUACUGGAGGGAGUUUUGCUUAUAUUCUGUGGGCUCCGUUUCCUGAAGUGCUGGAAAAAUCAAUCGCAUGGAGGAGGGAGGAGACAGAGAGGUCCCUGGGAGGCUGCUCAGGUGUUCCAGAGCUGUGUCUCCUACCGCAUGGGUUCAGCCCACUCUUGGGAAGCGGCCUCUUUUGGGAAACGAGGGAACUUGCAAACGGCUUGUUAAAGAUUUGCCAGGGAGAGGAAAGACUUUUGAGCAUGUGGCAGGAAGGGGGCAACCUCGCUGAGACUCGUUGGCCUGGUUAUGGACUGUUGAGUCCUCGGACACCCUGGUUCCUGUCUUCCCAUCGCCAUCAGAUCCCGCUGGGUCCUUCGGGUCACCUCUCUCCUCCCCGCGGGGCAGGGGCCACAGGCCCUGUUCAUCAUCGAUUCUAGGAGGAAUGCCUUGGUGUCUGGCGCGGAGCAGGACUACGAGGCGUCUGCGGAGUUGGUAGGUGGGUCUGGCUAGCUGUGGGCCUGUCUCUGGAAUUCAUUAUUUUAUUUUAUUUUAUUUUAUUUUAUUUUAUUUUAUUUUAUUUUAUUUUAUUUUAUUUUAUUUUAUUUUAUUUUAUUUUAUUUUAUUUUAUUUUAUUUUAUUUUAUUUUUAUUGGAGU